rnacentral:rRNA from 1 species
GAUGAACGCUGGCGGCGUGCCUAACACAUGCAAGUCGAGCGAACAGACGAGGAUCUUGCUUCUCUGACGUUAGCGGCGGACGGGUGAGUAACACGUGGAUAACUUACCUAUAAGACUGGGAUAACUUCGGGAAACCGGAUCUCAUACCGGAUAAUAUAUUGAACCGCAUGGUUCAUUAGUGAAAGACGGUUUUGCUGUCACUUAUAGAUGUUUCCGGGCCGCAUUAGCUAGUUGGUAAGGUAACGGCUUACCAAGGCGACGAUGCGUAGCCGACCUGAGAGGGUGAUCGGCCACACUGGAACUGAGACACGGUCCAGACUCCUACGGGAGGCAGCAGUAGGGAAUAUUCCGCAAUGGGCGAAAGCUUGACGGAGCAACGCCGCGUGAGUGAUGAAGGUCUUCGGAUCGUAAAACUCUGUUAUUAGGGAAGAACAGAUGUGUGAGAAACUAUGCACGUCUUGACGGUACCUAAUCAGAAAGCCACGGCUAACUUCGUG